rnacentral:rRNA from 2 species
CAGGGUAUGCCUCAGUAACGGCGAGUGAAGCGGCAUCAGCCCAAUUUUGAAAGCCUCCGGGCGUUGUAGUGGCGGCAAAGACACACCGGCAAGUCCCUUGGAACAGGGCGCCUCAGAGGGUGACAGCCCCGUACGGUUUUGUCUGCUAAUUGCCGCCGGGCGAGUCGAGUUGUUUGGGAAUGCAGCUCAAACGGGUGGUAAACUCCAUCCAAGGCUAAAUACCGGCGAGAGACCGAUAGCGAACAAGUACAGUGAUGGAAAGAUGAAAAGCACUUUGAAAAGAGAGUGAAAAAGUACGUGAAAUUGGUGUGAGGGAAGGGGGCGGGGGGAAGUAGG